UAUUCGUCUAAUGAAACUUUA
rnacentral:piRNA from 1 species